rnacentral:rRNA from 1 species
GAUGAACGCUGGCGGCGUGCCUAAUACAUGCAAGUCGAGCGAACGGACGAGAAGCUUGCUUCUCUGAUGUUAGCGGCGGACGGGUGAGUAACACGUGGAUAACCUACCUAUAAGACUGGGAUAACUUCGGGAAACCGGAGCUAAUACCGGAUAAUAUUUUGAACCGCAUGGUUCAAAAGUGAAAGACGGUCUUGCUGUCACUUAUAGAUGGAUCCGCGCUGCAUUAGCUAGUUGGUAAGGUAACGGCUUACCAAGGCAACGAUGCAUAGCCGACCUGAGAGGGUGAUCGGCCACACUGGAACUGAGACACGGUCCAGACUCCUACGGGAGGCAGCAGUAGGGAAUCUUCCGCAAUGGGCGAAAGCCUGACGGAGCAACGCCGCGUGAGUGAUGAAGGUCUUCGGAUCGUUAAACUCUGUUAUUAGGGAAGAACAUAUGUGUAAGUAACUGUGCACAUCUUGACGGUACCUAAUCAGAAAGCCACGGCUAACUACGUG